rnacentral:rRNA from 1 species
GAUGAACGCUGGCGGCGUGCCUAAUACAUGCAAGUCGAGCGAACAGAUGAGGAGCUUGCUCCUCUGACGUUAGCGGCGGACGGGUGAGUAACACGUGGAUAACCUACCUAUAAGACUGGGAUAACUUCGGGAAACCGGAGCUAAUACCGGAUAAUAUAUUGAACCGCAUGGUUCAAUAGUGAAAGACGGUUUUGCUGUCACUUAUAGAUGGAUCCGCGCCGCAUUAGCUAGUUGGUAAGGUAACGGCUUACCAAGGCAACGAGGCGUAGCCGACCUGAGAGGGUGAUCGGCCACACGGGAACUGAGACACGGUCCAGACUCCUACGGGAGGCAGCAGUAGGGAAUCUUCCGCAAUGGGCGAAAGCCUGACGGAGCAACGCCGCGUGAGUGAUGAAGGUCUUCGGAUCGUAAAACUCUGUUAUUAGGGAAGAACAAAUGUGUAAGUAACUAUGCACGUCUUGACGGUACCUAAUCAGAAAGCCACGGCUAACUACGUG